rnacentral:rRNA from 1 species
UACGAAGGGGGCUAGCGUUGCUCGGAAUCACUGGGCGUAAAGCGCACGUAGGCGGCUUUCUAAGUCAGGGGUGAAAUCCUGGAGCUCAACUCCAGAACUGCCUUUGAUACUGGAGAGCUUGAGUCCGGGAGAGGUGAGUGGAACUCCGAGUGUAGAGGUGAAAUUCGUAGAUAUUCGGAAGAACACCAGUGGCGAAGGCGGUUCUCUGGGCAUGUCCUGACGCUGAGGAGCGAAAGUGUGGGGAGCGAACAGG